rnacentral:lncRNA from 1 species
AUGUCCAUGCCCAGCAGCGGGGCCCACCCACAGGACGUGGGGGUAUCCCCGGAACCCCCAUCCGGACACUUGUCCCCCAGCCCUGCCCUAGAGUCGCCAGACCCAGCGCUCUCAGGGCCAUCUGGUCGACCCGGGGAGCGUGACCGCAAGGAAGGGACAGGGACAGGAAGGAGGUGGAGCCGGCCGGCCAGCCGGGGAAGCCCUUCCCGGCUUGCCCACGCGGGCAGGUAUCGGUCUGUCCGGAGCUCCAGACGGGGACUUGGCUCCCCCAAAAUCCAGGACACACCAUCCAGCUCAGGCCGGUCCCCACCUCCCGACAGAUCGACCGACCGACAGGGAAACACUCCGAGGGCGGGGGGGCGGGGGGGGGGGAAUGAGAGCGUGGGAAACGAAGUCUUGUCCAACGACCGGGACCCUACAUGGGCACGCCUCAGGCCCAGGUGCACCCUUCCCGGCCACACCCGGGAGCAGGGGGCCGGCGGGGUACCAUCCACCAUCUCCGGAUCCAUCAGGACUUGGAAAAAAAAUGUUUCCACGGAGGCGCCUCCGACGAACGGACCCCGCGAAGGAAGGCGCCGGGGCCCGAGCCACCCUUUCCGCUCCACCCCUCACGGCUUGUGCCGGUCUAGACCUCGUCAGUACGACUCCGCACGGGCCGGCGGUAGCCAUCAGUCGGGGGGCAGGGGGGGAGGGACCCAUGCCGGCAUGACGACCGGGAAACAAGCGUGCCGGCCACCGAGCCUGUCGCGCCCUCCAACGCCCUCACAGCGCACAGCCCGGGCCGCUCCUCACUUCGGGGAUGAGAGGCUGGAGGGACGGCGGGCGGGAGUCAUUCACGCUCCAAAGGGCGACCCGGGACAAGGCCAGGCCACCCGAGCACAGGCAGUCCCGGGCGCCGCACACCCUCUCCCCUCGCUAGGGAGGCGGCCCGGCCCAGGCCUGGUCGGUCCCCGGGCCGGAGCGGCAAGAGCGGAUGCUGGUCGACCCGGCCAGGCGGCCCCAGAACCUGCCUGGGGAGCGCGGUGA